rnacentral:rRNA from 1 species
UACAGAGGUGCCGAGCGUUAGGCGGAAUCACUGGGCUUAAAGCGUGUGUAGGCGGGUUGGUAAGUGUCUUGUGAAAUCCCCCGGCUCAACCGGGGAAUGGCUGGGCAUACUGGCGAUCUUGAGCAGUCUAGGGGCAGAUGGAACAAGUGGUGGAGCGGUGAAAUGCGUAGAUAUCACUUGGAACGCCAACGGUGAAGACAGUCUGCUGGGGACUUGCUGACGCUGAGACACGAAAGCCAGGGGAGCGAACAGG